GGUUAAGCGACUAAGCGUACACGGUGGAUGCCCUGGCAGUCAGAGGCGAUGAAGGACGUGCUAAUCUGCGAUAAGCGUCGGUGAGGUGAUAUGAACCGUUAUAACCGGCGAUUUCCGAAUGGGGAAACCCAGUGUGUUUCGACACACUAUCAUUAACUGAAUCCAUAGGUUAAUGAGGCGAACCGGGGGAACUGAAACAUCUAAGUACCCCGAGGAAAAGAAAUCAACCGAGAUUCCCCCAGUAGCGGCGAGCGAACGGGGAGGAGCCCAGAGCCUGAAUCAGUGUGUGUGUUAGUGGAAGCGUCUGGAAAGGCGCGCGAUACAGGGUGACAGCCCCGUACACAAAAAUGCACAUAUUGUGAGCUCGAUGAGUAGGGCGGGACACGUGGUAUCCUGUCUGAAUAUGGGGGGACCAUCCUCCAAGGCUAAAUACUCCUGACUGACCGAUAGUGAACCAGUACCGUGAGGGAAAGGCGAAAAGAACCCCGGCGAGGGGAGUGAAAAAGAACCUGAAACCGUGUACGUACAAGCAGUGGGAGCCUCUUAAUGGGGUGACUGCGUACCUUUUGUAUAAUGGGUCAGCGACUUAUAUUCUGUAGCAAGGUUAACCGAAUAGGGGAGCCGAAGGGAAACCGAGUCUUAACUGGGCGUUAAGUUGCAGGGUAUAGACCCGAAACCCGGUGAUCUAGCCAUGGGCAGGUUGAAGGUUGGGUAACACUAACUGGAGGACCGAACCGACUAAUGUUGAAAAAUUAGCGGAUGACUUGUGGCUGGGGGUGAAAGGCCAAUCAAACCGGGAGAUAGCUGGUUCUCCCCGAAAGCUAUUUAGGUAGCGCCUCGUGAAUUCAUCUCCGGGGGUAGAGCACUGUUUCGGCAAGGGGGUCAUCCCGACUUACCAACCCGAUGCAAACUGCGAAUACCGGAGAAUGUUAUCACGGGAGACACACGGCGGGUGCUAACGUCCGUCGUGAAGAGGGAAACAACCCAGACCGCCAGCUAAGGUCCCAAAGUCAUGGUUAAGUGGGAAACGAUGUGGGAAGGCCCAGACAGCCAGGAUGUUGGCUUAGAAGCAGCCAUCAUUUAAAGAAAGCGUAAUAGCUCACUGGUCGAGUCGGCCUGCGCGGAAGAUGUAACGGGGCUAAACCAUGCACCGAAGCUGCGGCAGCGACACUAUGUGUUGUUGGGUAGGGGAGCGUUCUGUAAGCCUGUGAAGGUGGCCUGUGAGGGUUGCUGGAGGUAUCAGAAGUGCGAAUGCUGACAUAAGUAACGAUAAAGCGGGUGAAAAGCCCGCUCGCCGGAAGACCAAGGGUUCCUGUCCAACGUUAAUCGGGGCAGGGUGAGUCGACCCCUAAGGCGAGGCCGAAAGGCGUAGUCGAUGGGAAACAGGUUAAUAUUCCUGUACUUGGUGUUACUGCGAAGGGGGGACGGAGAAGGCUAUGUUGGCCGGGCGACGGUUGUCCCGGUUUAAGCGUGUAGGCUGGUUUUCCAGGCAAAUCCGGAAAACCAAGGCUGAGGCGUGAUGACGAGGCACUACGGUGCUGAAGCGACAAAUGCCCUGCUUCCAGGAAAAGCCUCUAAGCAUCAGGUAACAUCAAAUCGUACCCCAAACCGACACAGGUGGUCAGGUAGAGAAUACCAAGGCGCUUGAGAGAACUCGGGUGAAGGAACUAGGCAAAAUGGUGCCGUAACUUCGGGAGAAGGCACGCUGAUAUGUAGGUGAAGCGACUUGCUCGUGGAGCUGAAAUCAGUCGAAGAUACCAGCUGGCUGCAACUGUUUAUUAAAAACACAGCACUGUGCAAACACGAAAGUGGACGUAUACGGUGUGACGCCUGCCCGGUGCCGGAAGGUUAAUUGAUGGGGUUAGCGGCAACGCGAAGCUCUUGAUCGAAGCCCCGGUAAACGGCGGCCGUAACUAUAACGGUCCUAAGGUAGCGAAAUUCCUUGUCGGGUAAGUUCCGACCUGCACGAAUGGCGUAAUGAUGGCCAGGCUGUCUCCACCCGAGACUCAGUGAAAUUGAACUCGCUGUGAAGAUGCAGUGUACCCGCGGCAAGACGGAAAGACCCCGUGAACCUUUACUAUAGCUUGACACUGAACAUUGAGCCUUGAUGUGUAGGAUAGGUGGGAGGCUUUGAAGUGUGGACGCCAGUCUGCAUGGAGCCGACCUUGAAAUACCACCCUU
rnacentral:rRNA from 1 species